rnacentral:rRNA from 1 species
AUGCAGAACCCCAACGGCACCAUCCUCCAGCUCUACCACUCCGGCCGUCUCUCUGCCGCCCUCCACGCCUUCCAAGCGCUCCCCUCCUCGCCCGCCCCCGCUCCUCUCUCCGCCGCCACAUACGCCGCCCUCGUCACCGCAUGCUCCCGCCUCCGCUCCCUCUGCCAGGGCCGCCUCGUCCACCACCACUUGAUUGCAUCCCCUGAUGCCGGACUUGCCGGAAAUACUGUCCUCAACAACCACCUUAUCACCAUGUACGGCAGGUGCGCUGCCCCAGACUCUGCCCGCCUGGUGUUCGACGAAAUGCCUGCCAAGAACCCUGUCUCUUGGGCAUCUGUUAUCGCGGCACACACGCAGAACAGACGCUCCACUGAUGCUCUCGUUCUGUUCUCUUCAAUGCUACGGGCGGGGACUGCGCCUGACCAGUUUGCGCUCGGCAGUGCUGUGCGUGCGUGCGCAGAGCUUGGGGACAUCGUUGUCGGGAGGCAGGUGCAUGCACAGGCUAUGAAGUCUGAGACUGGAAGUGGCUUGAUCGUGCAGAACGCGCUUGUCACCAUGUACUCCAAGAGCGGCUUCGUUGGGGAUGGGUUCUCGCUCUUCACGAGGAUGAGGGAGAAAGACCUGAUUUCCUGGGGGUCCAUUAUUGCAGGGUUUGCACAGCAAGGGUGCGAAAUGGAGGCGCUGCAUAUUUUCAGGGAGAUGAUUGCUGAGGGGCUGCAUCAUCCCAAUCAGUUCCAUUUUGGAAGCGUGUUUAGCGCUUGUGGGGUUCUGGGUAGUUUGGAGUAUGGGAAGCAGAUUCAUAGCUUGUCUGUGAAGUAUAAUCUGGACUCUAACUCGUAUGCAGGUUGUUCAUUGAGCGACAUGUAUGCCCGGUGCAAGAAGUUGGAGUCUGCGAGGAAAGUGUUUUAUGGGAUUGAUGCUCCAGAUUUGGUUUCUUGGAAUUCAAUAAUCAAUGCUUGCUCUGUUGAGGGUCUUCUUAGUGAGGCUAUGUUACUGUUCUCUGAUAUGAGAGACUCUGGCCUCAGGCCUGAUGGCAUUACCGUUAGGGGCUUGUUAUGUGCGUGUGUGGGCUGUGAUGCUUUACAGCCUGGCAGAUUGAUCCACUCCUACUUGGUCAAACUGGGUUUGGAUGGGGAUGUUUCAGUAUGCAAUUCUUUACUCAGCAUGUAUGCGCGGUGUAUGGAUUUCUCCUCUGCGAUGGAUGUUUUUCACGAGACAAGAGAUCGUGAUGUUGUCACCUGGAACAGCAUUCUUACUGCAUGUGUACAGCACCAGCAUCUGGAAGUAGUCUUUGAGUUGUUCAACCUUUUGCAGAGGUUGGUGCCGAGUCUGGACGGGAUCAGUUUAAACAAUGUUCUGAGUGCUUCUGCCGAGUUGGGUUACCUUGAAAUGGUGAAACAGGUCCAUGCAUACACCUUCAAAGUAGGUCUGGUGAACGAUACAAUGCUGAGCAAUGGUCUAAUUGAUACCUAUGCUAAAUGUGGAAGUUUAGAUGAUGCUGCGAAGCACUUUGAAAUGAUGGGCACCAACUGUGACGUGUUCUCUUGGAGCAGUUUGAUUGUUGGCUAUGCCCAAUCUGGUUAUGCAAGGAAAGCACUUGAUUUAUUUGCAAGGAUGAGAAACUUGGGGAUCAAGCCAAAUCAUGUAACAUUUGUUGGGGUUCUCACAGCAUGCAGCCGCGUCGGCUUUGUCGAUGAAGGCUGCUAUUACUACAGUAUUAUGGAGCCUGAACAUGGCAUUCUUCCAACAAGAGAGCAUUGUUCAUGUGUCAUUGACUUGCUAUCACGUGCUGGGAGACUAACUGAGGCAGCAAAAUUUGUUGAUCAAAUGCCAUUUGAGCCCGAUAUUGUGAUGUGGAAGACCCUGCUUGCUGCUAGCAAAACACAUAAUGACGUGGAGAUGGGAAAGAGGGCAGCAGAAGGCGUUUUGAAUAUUGAUCCUUCCCAUUCUGCUGCCUAUGUCUUGUUGUGCAACAUAUAUGCUGCUUCUGGUGAUUGGAAUGAGUUUGCAAGAUUGAAGAAGGCAAUGAGAAGCAGUGGUGUUAAGAAAUCACCAGGGAAGAGCUGGGUUAAGCUAAAGGGGGAGCUAAAAGUCUUUAUAGUAGAGGACAGAUCGCAUCCAGAGUCUGAGGAAAUUUACACAAUGCUUGAUAUAGUUGGAAUGGAAAUGAUAAAAGCUGGUUAUGUUCCAAAGCUACCAUGUCAAUAUACUAGUUUUGAUCAUACAAAUAGUGAUUUGUCAGAUGAAGAAAUGACUAUGGAAUAUGGUUGA